UUUACCAGAGUCGCUCGUCUCUGUCAGCAGCGCUGCGGAUGGUCUCCGGCCAAAUUUCAGCAGCCCCGAGCCCCUUCCGCCUUCCCUGGGCCACUGCUAAAGCCCCACGAACCCCUGAACCCAUUCCCAUCUUUAGCUUUUCCCAGGAGCCACGGCGUGCGCAACCCAAGUCUUUCCUGACCCUCUCUCCGCCAUGGCUGGAGGAGAGCUCACCCCGAGCUCCCCAACUACCCUAGAGCCUUCGAGAGGACGAGGCCCUCCCCCCUGAGCACUCCGGUAUGCUCAGCACGGCGAAUGGUGCCGCCCAUCGCCGGAGGCCUUACCUCCCCUCGACCAGAGGAGUGAGACGACCGAUUUGACCAGCGUCAAACUUGUUGCUGGGCCCCACGCGUCAGCGACAGGACCGAGCCACCGCCCGCGUGAGUGGAGACGCCUUCCACCAAGUACGCCUCUCCCUCGCGCUUACGCAUUUCCUGCCGAAGCAUUUUCUUUUAUAUUGGUUUUUAAAAACAGUGUUGACCAGAAAGUUUGACUGGCUCUAACUUUUAAAAUACAACUCCAAAUCAUUUGAUUCUUUGUCCUACCUGUUUAGAAUUUCAGCUAGUUUAUUUUCCUAUUUAUUUCAAAAAAAAAUCAAACAAAUUUAGUGUGUUGUUUUAUUUUUGGGUGUUGAUUCAAAUAUUUUUCAAAAUAGGAUUUUGAAGAGAGGAUACCUACUCCAAGAUGUGCGGUACACAUCACCCUCCUUGAACCCCUAAGGCAAGAAUCUUGAAUCCAAAUUUGCAUAAAGUUGUGUGAUUCUUGUGGUGGUGCAUAUACUGCGUGAUUUUAGAUUAUGUGGAUGGAAAUCUCGCAUGAAAUAAUAUGUUGCAUAUUAGCAUGUGAUGGAUAUUGUUGUUGCUAAGUUUGUGGAAGGCAAGUGGUGAGUGGUUACUGCCUCAUACUUCGUAUGCUACGUUGGUCUGGACAACCUCAGAAUAAGGUUUUUCUAGUGGAGAUGAGACCAUAGGCUGACGCCUCGUGGGACGAGAGUGGUCAGUGAAAGCAUGUCGGGCUGUGAUGGUAGUAACCCGAAGAUAAUCUCUUCAACAAGAUGGUGUGGGACUAACCCUUGCAGGAAAAAUAUUAAACCUCCUAAGUCGAUCGUAGAUUGAGUCUUGUCUAUGUGUCACCUUACCCUUCGUGCUACCACAGUUUCCUGGAUAAUGGAUUCGAUAUAGUAGGUUGUAGACGUAUUAUUAGUCACACACCAAGUAGAGGGGCCGGGAUAAAGGUAUCCAGGGCCCUGGACUAAAUCCAGUGAUCGGGUCAGGGGGCAUGGGUGUUUCCGGUCUGGGACCGGAAGGGUGGGCACUCCCCAUUGGCGCGCGAUAUAAAUUUUGAUUCCAGCUAGCCGAGGUCGGAGCCUCCCCGUCUUAUGGUUUUGCCUUGGCAGCGUAGUCCAGGUGAAGCCGGGCUUCGCGGAGGAAAAAUCGGUGUGUGAUGGUUCUGAGAGUUUACUUCUAAAAUACCAUACGCGGGAUUAGUCCGAGUGACUAUAGAAAACCGUGGGCUAUGGGUAAAGAGUACACCCACUACAGAGUCAAAACUAUUCGAGUAGUCGUGUCCACGGUCAAGGAUGACUGGUUGACUAGUCAAGUACCGGUAUGAGUGUUGGUCUUCGGAGGAAGUUAUAGAAAUCGUGAGACUAAUCCGGAAAUGUGGUGGAUGACCCUAUUAUUAUUAUUACUCUGGACUAACCCCUAUGAUUAUGUUUGUCGAAUAUCCCUGGGACGGUUCUACCUCUAGGAUAUUCUUCAUAUACUAUUAGUUCUUAUAAGUCCUUUCCGUGGUGUCGCUCAGUCGCCCGACUAUGGCAUGUUUAUUGUUUCAUAUAAGCCUUUUAUGUGGUGUCACCUAGACGCCCGACUAAGGCAUGCUUAUUAUUAUUAUUAUUAUUUCUUAUAAGCCCAUUAUGUGGUGUCUCUAAGACGCCCGAUUGUGGCCUGUUAUUUAUUUUAAGCCCUUUUUGUGGGGUCCCUCUGAUGCCCGACUGCGGCACGCAUAUCAUUCAUUAUUACCUUCCUUUCUUGUUGAUAAAAUAUUGAUGGAAAAAUUGUGUAUCUGCAUGAAUGCAUUCAUGAGUUAAACUCUAAUGGCAUGAUAUAAUUGUUAGUGUAAUUUGCAUGCAUCUCACCUGCUUUAACUUAUUUGUUUUCUUGAUGUUUGUGAGUACAUUCAAAGUACUCACUGGAUUGUCCCUGGCUAAUGUCUUGGCCAGAUUGCGUUCGGAAAGGAGCAUGAUGUCGUCAGCCCCCGAACCUAAGAGUCAAGGAUAGCAGCCUUGUGAGAUAGGAAUUUAUCCAGGUCGGCUGUUCUUGUGGGAAUGGAGUCCCUUGGGCACUGGAGAUUCCUCGAGUCGCUUCCGCCGUCAACCUCGGAAUUUUGUUCAACCCAGUAGACCUCAUGGUCUUAUAACCCAUAUUUUGUAUUUUUCUUGGAUAUUCUGUAUCAAGUAAGUGUCUACCAGCUAACAACAAUCCUAGGGUUGGUAAACACAUAGUCCUGUUUUUUGGAAAUUAUUUUCGGGAAAACACAACACUACAAUGCCACAUGCUCAAGUAAAUCACAAUUGGUUGAAGAAUCAUAUAUAUGUCUCUCGAUGCAUGUUUAGUUCAAGGAAAGAAAUGGGAAGGAAUUUCAAAAACCUCGGUGUCACGGAUCGGCCGCAAAAAUUGAGAAGCUUGGUUUUUAAAUUCUUGUAAAUCGAAAACUCUUGUGAAAUUCAUGAAACUUGGCAUGGUGUCAUGAAAUGGAACCAACAUGAUCUCGUAAUUCUUUUUCUAAUUUGGGAGAAGUUUUGGCAUAAGCUUCUUACGAACCAGAGCAUCUCACUAGAAGACUCAUGCUUCUCGUAGGGAACGUGUCUCCUUUGUGGACGAAACAACAUUCCUGCCUAUUAA
rnacentral:lncRNA from 1 species